CAGUCGAACGAAGCUUGACGGAUGAUUUCUUCGGAAUGAAACCAGAUAUGACUUAGUGGCGGACGGGUGAGUAACACGUGAGCAACCUGCCUUUCAGAGGGGGAUAACGGCUGGAAACGGUCGCUAAUACCGCAUGAUGUGUUCGGAUGGCAUCAUUUGAACAUCAAAGAUUUAUCGCUGAAAGAUGGGCUCGCGUCUGAUUAGAUAGUUGGUGGGGUAACGGCCUACCAAGUCUACGAUCAGUAGCCGGACUGAGAGGUUGAACGGCCACAUUGGGACUGAGAUACGGCCCAGACUCCUACGGGAGGCAGCAGUGGGGAAUAUUGCACAAUGGGGGAAACCCUGAUGCAGCAACGCCGCGUGAAGGAUGACGGUUUUCGGAUUGUAAACUUCUUUUCUUAGUGACGAAGACAGUGACGGUAGCUAAGGAAUAAGCAUCGGCUAACUACGUGCCAGCAGCCGCGGUAAUACGUAGGAUGCAAGCGUUAUCCGGAUUUACUGGGUGUAAAGGGAGCGCAGGCGGGACUGCAAGUUGGAUGUGAAAUACCGUGGCUUAACCACGGAACUGCAUCCAAAACUGUAGUUCUUGAGUGAAGUAGAGGCAAGCGGAAUUCCGAGUGUAGCGGUGAAAUGCGUAGAUAUUCGGAGGAACACCAGUGGCGAAGGCGGCUUGCUGGGCUUUAACUGACGCUGAGGCUCGAA
rnacentral:rRNA from 1 species